AACACAUGCAAGUCGAACGAUGAACCACUUCGGUGGGGAUUAGUGGCGAACGGGUGAGUAACACGUGGGCAAUCUGCCCUUCACUCUGGGACAAGCCCUGGAAACGGGGUCUAAUACCGGAUACAACACUCUCGGGCAUCCGAUGAGUGUGGAAAGCUCCGGCGGUGAAGGAUGAGCCCGCGGCCUAUCAGCUUGUUGGUGAGGUAACGGCUCACCAAGGCGACGACGGGUAGCCGGCCUGAGAGGGCGACCGGCCACACUGGGACUGAGACACGGCCCAGACUCCUACGGGAGGCAGCAGUGGGGAAUAUUGCACAAUGGGCGAAAGCCUGAUGCAGCGACCCGCGUGAGGGAUGACGGCUUCGG
rnacentral:rRNA from 1 species